UCCUAAAUGACUGAGUCAAAGUGUUAGACUUUUAAU
rnacentral:tRNA from 1 species